UACGGGGGGGGGCAAGCGUUGUUCGGAAUUACUGGGCGUAAAGGGCUGGUAGGCGGCCAACUAAGUCGGAUGUGAAAUCCCCAGGCUUAACCUGGGAACUGCAUCCGAUACUGGUCGGCUUGAAUCCGGGAGAGGGAUGCAGAAUUCCAGGUGUAGCGGUGAAAUGCGUAGAUAUCUGGAGGAAUACCGGUGGCGAAGGCGGCAUCCUGGACCGGCAUUGACGCUGAGGUGCGAAAGCGUGGGGAGCAAACAGG
rnacentral:rRNA from 1 species